AGGAUAAUAGUUAAAUAAUAACAUUUAACUUGCAUUUAAAAAUUACUUCAAGUUUAUCUUA
rnacentral:tRNA from 1 species